rnacentral:rRNA from 1 species
CAGCAGCCGCGGGAAUACGAGGGGGGCAAGCGUUGUUCGGAAUUAUUGGGCGUAAAGGGUGCGUAGGCGGUUUGACAAGUCUUAUGUGAAAUCUCUGGGCUCAACCCAGAGUCUGCAUGGGAAACUGUCGGGCUUGAGUAUGGGAGAGGUGAGUGGAAUUUCCGGUGUAGCGGUGAAAUGCGUAGAUAUCGGAAGGAACACCUGUGGCGAAAGCGGCUCACUGGACCAUAACUGACGCUGAUGCACGAAAGCUAGGGGAGCAAACAGGAUUAGAUACCCCAGUAGUCCCUGUCUCUUAUAA